rnacentral:rRNA from 1 species
GCGGGAUUUCCCCUUCUAUGACGUUCGGAUUCCAGCGACUGCGCAUUCGCGCUUACCCGCUGAACUUAAAGCAUAUCAAUAAGCGGAGGAAAAGAAACCAACAGGGAUUGCCUCAGUAACGGCGAGUGAAGCGGCAACAGCUCAAAUUUGAAAUCUGCCUCUAGGCCGAGUUGUAAUUUGUAGAAGAUGCUUCGGGUGUGGCACUGGUCUAAGUUCCUUGGAACAGGACGUCAUAGAGGGUGAGAAUCCCGUAUGUGACUGGCUGCCUUCGCCCAUGUGAAGCUCUUUCGACGAGUCGAGUUGUUUGGGAAUGCAGCUCAAAAUGGGUGGUAUAUUUCAUCUAAAGCUAAAUAUUGGCCAGAGACCGAUAGCGCACAAGUAGAGUGAUCGAAAGAUGAAAAGCACUUUGGAAAGAGAGUUAAACAGUACGUGAAAUUGUUGAAAGGGAAGCGCUUGCAAUCAGACUUGCGCGCCGUCGAUCAUCCGAGGUUUUCCCCGGUGCACUCGGCGGUGCUCAGGCCAGCAUCGGUUUCGGUGGUUAGAUAAAGGCCUUGGGAAUGUGGCUCCUCCGGGAGUGUUAUAGCCCUCGGUGCAAUGUAGCCUACUGGGACCGAGGACCGCGCUUCGGCUAGGAUGCUGGCGUAAUGGUUGUAAGCGACCCGUCUUGAAACACGG